UAGGGAAUCUUCCACAAUGGACGCAAGUCUGAUGGAGCAACGCCGCGUGAGUGAAGAAGGUUUUCGGAUCGUAAAGCUCUGUUGUUGGUGAAGAAGGAUAGAGGCAGUAACUGGUCUUUAUUUGACGGUAAUCAACCAGAAAGUCACGGCUAACUACGUGCCAGCAGCCGCGGUAAUACGUAGGUGGCAAGCGUUGUCCGGAUUUAUUGGGCGUAAAGCGAGCGCAGGCGGAAUGAUAAGUCUGAUGUGAAAGCCCACGGCUCAACCGUGGGACUGCAUCGGAAACUGUCAUUCUUGAGUGCAGAAGAGGAGAGUGGAAUUCCAUGUGUAGCGGUGGAAUGCGUAGAUAUAUGGAAGAACACCAGUGGCGAAGGCGGCUCUCUGGUCUGCAACUGACGCUGAGGCUCGAAAGCAUGGGUAGCGAACAGG
rnacentral:rRNA from 1 species